rnacentral:snoRNA from 1 species
UCAUAUGAUGAUUACCAUAUCACAGACCUGUACCAAAACCUUCGGGUAUUGAGGAUAAAUGUGUUUUGCCUUUUGUCUGAAC